GACAGAGGGGGCAAGCGUUGUCCGGAAUCAUUGGGCGUAAAGAGCGUGUAGGCGGCUCGAUAAGUCUGCUGUGAAAGUCCAGGGCUCAACCCUGGAAGGCCGGUGGAAACUGUCGGGCUAGAGUCCGGAAGAGGCGAGUGGAAUUCCCGGUGUAGCGGUGAAAUGCGCAGAUAUCGGGAGGAACACCAAUGGCGAAGGCAGCUCGCUGGGACGGUACUGACGCUGAGACGCGAAAGCGUGGGGAGCAAACAGG
rnacentral:rRNA from 1 species